GUUCCAAUGAGAAUGAAGGCUGAGGUGUGCGCCUUUUUUUUUUUUCCUUCUUAGUCGUGUGUACAUCAUUGGGAAUGGAGGGAAAUAAAUGACUGGAUGGUCGCUGCUUUUUAAGUUUCAAAUUGACACUCUAGGCAAGCGGUGCCUGAGCCCGUGCCUGUCUUCAGAUCUUCACAGCACAGUUCCUGGGAAGGUGGAGCCACCAGCCUCUCCCUGAAUAACUGGGAGAUGAAACAGGAAGCUCUAUGACACACUUGAUCGAAUAUGACAGACACCGAAAAUCACGACUCAGCCCCCUCCAGCACCUCUACCUGUUGCCCGCCGAUCACAGCCAGAAUGCAGCUGAAAGAUUCCCUGGGGCCUGGUUCCAACCGCCCGCUGUGGACUCUGAGGCCUCUGCAUUUGCGGGUGGUCUGCCUGUGAUAUUUUGGUCAUGGUCUGGUCAGGUCGGUUUCCCAUUUGUCUGGCCAGUCUCUAUGUGUCUUAAUCCCUUGUCCUUCAUUAAAAGCAAAACUAAAGAAAACAGAA
rnacentral:lncRNA from 1 species